rnacentral:rRNA from 1 species
UACGUAGGGUGCAAGCGUUUAAUCGGAAUUACUGGGCGUAAAGCGUGCGCAGGCGGUUUUGUAAGUCUGUCGUGAAAGCCCCGGGCUCAACCUGGGGAAUUGCGAUGGAGACUGCAAGGCUUGAAUCUGGCAGAGGGGGGGUAGAAUUCCACGUGUAGCAGUGAAAUGCGUAGAGAUGUGGAGGAACACCGAUGGCGAAGGCAGCCCCCUGGGUCAAGAUUGACGCUCAUGCACGAAAGCGUGGGGGAGCAAACAGG